rfam:Lupinus angustifolius cultivar Tanjil contig_32165, whole genome shotgun sequence.
AAAUCAUGGUUGGGGCAUUUUCUCAACAACAUCUGAAAAUGCUCCUAAACUUCAUAACAUGCUUCAUCUGCACCUUGUCGAAAAGUUGAUAUCUCAAACUUGGCAU